UACGGAGGGUGCGAGCGUUGUCCGGAAUCACUGGGCGUAAAGGGCGCGUAGGCGGCCCGGCAAGUCAGUGGUGAAAACCCGGGGCUCAACUUCGGGCUUGCGGUCGAUACGGGCGGGCUAGAGUUCGGUAGGGGAGACUGGAAUUCCGGGUGUAGCGGUGGAAUGCGUAGAGAUCCGGAGGAAGACCGGUGGCGAAGGCGGCCUGCUGGGCAGUUUCUGACACUGAGGCGCGACAGCGUGGGGAGCAAACAGG
rnacentral:rRNA from 1 species